rnacentral:sRNA from 1 species
GCGAGACACCUGGCCCGGUCGCCGGAUGUGACCGAUAAGCUGGCGGACGGCACGUACCCGAGCGCAGCUCUCGGACGUGCCGCCCAUGAUCAGCCAGCAGCCGCUGCAACCCCAGGGAG